rnacentral:lncRNA from 1 species
CGACUUUUAUCCUUGAGAGAGAAAAAGUCGAUCUUCAAAAAGUCGAUCCCUAGUGCACUUGGAGGAUUCCUUGGAAGUCGAUGCCUGAAAGCCUAGCUCCUUGAGGGAUCGACUUUUUUCCUUUGGAAGAAAAAGUCGAUCUUCUGAAAAGUUGAUCCCUUGCUGGCUGAUUUCCUCGCAAGACUCCUUAGCUGGCGACUUGGAAAAAAGUCGAUCACUUUUUUCGAAAAAGUCGAGGAGCUUUUGUCGUGAGUAUCUUUGAGUCACAGACGGCGCCAACUGAUGGGGGUGAAACCCGACCAGUACUCCAAGACGCGCAAGCAAGCGCCAAGCGGGGAACUCCGCGGGAAACCGGACCGGAACUCAAGUGUGCAGAGCUCUGCUUCGCUAGGAAUCCUUCUUCUCCAAAUGACCUGCCUUUAAUGAGUGGGGGGUGCCCUCUAUUUAUAGGGGUUCUUAUGGGGGCAAUAUGGUCAUUUGGGCAGUAACCGCCUAACUGCCCAACUGAUCAGAUUGGGUCC